rnacentral:tRNA from 1 species
CGGGAUGUGGCGUAGUCCGGUUAGCGCACACGGCUGGGGGCCGUGGGGUCGCAGGUUCAAAUCCUGUCAUCCCGACUA